rnacentral:rRNA from 1 species
AUUGAACGCUGGCGGCAUGCCUUACACAUGCAAGUCGAACGGUAACAGGUCUUCGGAUGCUGACGAGUGGCGAACGGGUGAGUAAUACAUCGGAACGUGCCCGAUCGUGGGGGAUAACGAAGCGAAAGCUUUGCUAAUACCGCAUAAGAUCUACGGAUGAAAGCAGGGGACCGCAAGGCCUUGCGCGAACGGAGCGGCCGAUGGCAGAUUAGGUAGUUGGUGGGAUAAAAGCUUACCAAGCCGACGAUCUGUAGCUGGUCUGAGAGGACGACCAGCCACACUGGGACUGAGACACGGCCGAGCCUCCUACGGGAGGCAGCAGUGGGGAAUUUUGGACAAUGGGCGAAAGCCUGAUCCAGCCAUGCCGCGUGCAGGAUGAAGGCCUUCGGGUUGUAAACUGCUUUUGUACGGAACGAAAAGACUCUUUCUAAUAAAGAGGGUCCAUGACGGUACCGUAAGAAUAAGCACCGGCUAACUACGUGCCAGCCGCCGCGGUAAGAC